GACAGAGGGUGCAAACGUUGUUCGGAAUUACUGGGCGUAAAGCGCGUGUAGGCGGCCCGAAAAGUUGGAUGUGAAAGCCCUGGGCUUAACCUAGGAAGUGCAUUCAAAACUGUCGGGCUUGAGUUCUGGAGAGGAAGGCGGAAUUCUCGGUGUAGAGGUGAAAUUCGUAGAUAUUGGGAGGAACACCAGUGGCGAAGGCGCUACCUGGACCGGUUCUGACGCUGAUGCGCGAAAGCGUGGGUAGCAAACAGG
rnacentral:rRNA from 1 species